rnacentral:rRNA from 1 species
AGAGUUUGAUUCUGGCUCAGGACGAACGCUGGCGGCGUGCUUAACACAUGCAAGUCGAGCGGAAAGGCCCUUCGGGGUACUCGAGCGGCGAACGGGUGAGUAACACGUGAGCAACCUGCCCCUGACUCUGGGAUAAGCCCGGGAAACUGGGUCUAAUACCGGAUACGACCGCCUCCGGCAUCGGGUGGUGGUGGAAAGUUUUUCGGUUGGGGAUGGGCUCGCGGCCUAUCAGCUUGUUGGUGGGGUAGUGGCCUACCAAGGCGACGACGGGUAGCCGGCCUGAGAGGGCGACCGGCCACACUGGGACUGAGACACGGCCCAGACUCCUACGGGAGGCAGCAGUGGGGAAUAUUGCGCAAUGGGCGGAAGCCUGACGCAGCGACGCCGCGUGGGGGAUGACGGCCUUCGGGUUGUAAACCUCUUUCAGCAGGGACGAAGUUGACGUGUACCUGCAGAAGAAGCGCCGGCUAACUACGUGCCAGCAGCCGCGGUAAUACGUAGGGCGCAAGCGUUGUCCGGAAUUAUUGGGCGUAAAGAGCUCGUAGGUGGCUGGUCGCGUCUGCCGUGAAAGCCCGCAGCUUAACUGCGGGUCUGCGGUGGAUACGGGCCGGCUAGAGGUAGGUAGGGGCAAGUGGAAUUCCUGGUGUAGCGGUGAAAUGCGCAGAUAUCAGGAGGAACACCGGUGGCGAACGCGGCUUGCUGGGCCUUACCUGACGCUGAGGAGCGAAAGCGUGGGGAGCGAACAGGAUUAGAUACCCUGGUAGUCCACGCUGUAAACGUUGGGCGCUAGGUGUGGGACCCUUCCACGGGUUCCGUGCCCGGAGCUAACGCAUUAAGCGCCCCGCCUGGUGAGUACGGCCGCAGGCUAAACUCAAUGAAUUGACGGGG